AGUGAACGCUGGCGGUAGGCCUAACACAUGCAAGUCGAACGGCAGCACAGUAAGAGCUUGCUCUUAUGGGUGGCGAGUGGCGGGCGGGUGAGGAAUAUAUCGGAAUCUACUUUUUCGUGGGGGAUAACGUAGGGAAACCUACGCUAAUACCGCAUAUGACCUACGGGUGAAAGCAGGGGAUCUUCGGACCUUGUGCGAUUGAAUGAGCUGAUGUCGGAUUAGUUAGUUGGCGGGGUAAAGGCCCACCAAGGCGACGAUCCGUAGCUGGUCUGAGAGGAUGAUCGGCCACACUGGAACUGAGACACGGUCCAGACUCCUACGGGGGGCAGCAGUGGGGAAUAUUGGACAAUGGGCGCAAGCCUGAUCCAGCCAUACCGCGUGGGUGAAGAAGGCCUUCGGGUUGUAAAGCCCUUUUGUUGGGAAAGAAAAGCAGCAGGUUAAUACCCCGCUGUUCUGACGGUACCCAAAGAAUAAGCACCGGCUAACUUCGUG
rnacentral:rRNA from 1 species